GACGAACGCUGGCGGCGUGCUUAACACAUGCAAGUCGAACGGAAAGGCCCUGCUUUUGUGGGGUGCUCGAGUGGCGAACGGGUGAGUAACACGUGAGUAACCUGCCCUUGACUUUGGGAUAACUUCAGGAAACUGGGGCUAAUACCGGAUAGGAGCUCCUGCUGCAUGGUGGGGGUUGGAACGUUUCGGCGGUUGGGGAUGGACUCGCGGCUUAUCAGCUUGUUGGUGGGGUAGUGGCUUACCAAGGCUUUGACGGGUAGCCGGCCUGAGAGGGUGACCGGCCACAUUGGGACUGAGAUACGGCCCAGACUCCUACGGGAGGCAGCAGUGGGGAAUAUGGCACAAUGGGCGGAAGCCUGAUGCAGCAACGCCGCGUGCGGGAUGACGGCCUUCGGGUUGUAAACCGCUUUCGCCUGUGACGAAGCGUGAGUGACGGUAAUGGGUAAAGAAGCACCGGCUAACUACGUG
rnacentral:rRNA from 1 species